UGGAGUUUCCAGCUUCUAAAAUAUGUGCUUUAUUGGGCAACACUAACAUCCCGCUCUAAUGAUGAAAGAAUAAUGAACAUGUGAGUGGCUUUUGGAUUUUCUUUAUCAUUUAGAUCAUCGUGGUCUAUGAAAGAAAAAAAUUGUUGCUGUGUUACAUGUUGUUUCCAAUCGCUAGUCGAGUCUUUGAUUUUCUUUCAAAACAAGGGAAUUCAUCUACCAAGUAAGAAAAUGAUGGAUUGUUUUAUUGGAAGCAAGGUAAAACCUUUGUCGUAUUUCAUUGAACAUGGAGAGUUGCUGUUUUUUUAUGAGAAGCCAAAAAACUCUACUCUCACAUGAUCACUACCCUUCGGUCUUUUGCUCUAGCUAAAACCCAACAUUCGAACUUGGGCAUAAUUUUGCUAAGGAGGUUAUUUUGGGUGGUGUGUGUGUAUACAUUGGUUUUCUAGAGAGUUGUGAUGUUGUAGUUACCAUGCAUGUACAUAAAGUAUUGCACUCAUCAAUUGUAACGAAAUCUCGCUGAAUCAUCUCAUGUGCACACUCUCAAUUUGAACUCAUAUUCCUAGUGCGUCCCAUGCCUAGCAUUGUUCAUAGUCCUUGUAGACCAAGCUAGCGUCAUUUCUUCACCCACCCAGUGAGCGACAACAACCAAAAGAUAGACAAGCUUGAAUUUUUGCGGUGCAGUUUUGAGUGUUCACCUCCUAUGCUUAAU
rnacentral:lncRNA from 1 species